rnacentral:rRNA from 1 species
GACGAACGCUGGCGGCGUGCUUAACACAUGCAAGUCGAACGGAGCACCCCUGAAGGAGUUUUCGGACAACGGAUGGGAAUGCUUAGUGGCGGACUGGUGAGUAACGCGUGAGGAACCUGCCUUCCAGAGGGGGACAACAGUUGGAAACGACUGCUAAUACCGCAUGACACAUUUGAAUCGCAUGGUUUGAAUGUCAAAGAUUUAUCGCUGGAAGAUGGCCUCGCGUCUGAUUAGCUAGUUGGUGAGGUAACGGCCCACCAAGGCGACGAUCAGUAGCCGGACUGAGAGGUUGGCCGGCCACAUUGGGACUGAGAUACGGCCCAG